AUGUGUUAUGUUUGCGUUACUAUGGAUAGCCCAUUGUUGUCGAACUUGCAGAGACUGACAAAGGUGACCAGAACAUCAGAAGUGCCCUACAAUCGAGAGGAGCAACUUAUCAAAUUUAAAACCUCAAAGGGAGAGGUAAACCAGCACAUGGAGUAUGUUUCCGAAAGCAGAAAAGGACGCACACUAUUGCCGCUAUCUUGCAGUGGGUUCUUGAGCAAAUCUCUCCCUUGGAUCAAACGAUCAACCACUGGAAAAGGGGGGAUAAGUACAUGUAUGAUACUGCAACUAACAAACAGAGACAACAUGGAAAAUAAAUGA
rnacentral:rRNA from 1 species